GAUGGCGACCGGCGCACGGGUGAGUAACACGUAUCCAACCUGCCGAUAACUCGGGGAUAGCCUUUCGAAAGAAAGAUUAAUACCCGAUGGCAUAAUUAGACCGCAUGGUCUUAUUAUUAAAGAAUUUCGGUUAUCGAUGGGGAUGCGUUCCAUUAGGCAGUUGGUGAGGUAACGGCUCACCAAACCUUCGAUGGAUAGGGGUUCUGAGAGGAAGGUCCCCCACAUUGGAACUGAGACACGGUCCAA
rnacentral:rRNA from 1 species